AUCACUUUUCAGCCUUCUGGCUGAGAUCAAAUGUAAUGUCUGUUCUUAUCAGUUUAAUAUCUGAUACAUCCUCUAUCCAAGGACAUUAUAUUCUAUGAAUUUUGGGAGCUGGGAAAUGGAAUAGCUUGGUCCAUCUACUGCAUGCACUGACCCAGUAUUGUAGUACUUCUGAGAAUGGAGGGAGGGAG